CUUAACCCACUGAGAGAGGCCAGGAACUGAACCUGCUGUCCUCAUGGAUCCUAGUUAGAUUGGUUUCCGCUGCAAUACGAUGGGAACUGGGAACUACAGGGAAGCUUUGUUUUUGAUAAAGAAAGCAGAGGCAAGAGCUCCUGCUUGAGAGCACUUUUUCUCAUGCCCUCAGGAUGUGGGCAGGGCUGCUUUAUAGGCAGGGUGGAGAGUGGAGGGGGUGGAGUUCGGGGGGGUGGGUGGGGGGGCUGGUACAUGCGCAGGCUCAAGAUCAAUGCUCAGGCUCCAGCUUGUGGUCCCUGGUGUAGCAGCUCUGCUUGCGAUUGCUGUAACUGAACUGUGGGCAUUUUUCACUGGAGGAACUCUGGUCUGAAGGGCCGGGUGCGAGGUGUCAGGAAGAGGCAUUCUCUGAACAUGAAAAGUUGGAUGAAGCACAAAGGAAAAAAAGCACGAUCCACGACAGCAAGAAGACAAAGGCUUUGUUACAACAGAACAGAGCAGAGACAUCUGUGGCCGUCAGCUUCUUUAAAGCCAGUAAAUACAGCUUUUUCCACAAAGAAACAACUGUGCCUCAAAGCAUUGCAAAUCUAAGUAAUCUCCAGCCACUGUCUGCCUCACAUGCAAGAAGCCAUUUACCCCACAGGAGAACCACAUUGGGGAGAGCAUGACAAAGUGGUGACGCUCCAGGCACAGGCCUUCAAUAUCAAGGAAACAUUGCUUCCAAGCAGCUGAAACUGCAAGGAGUUGCAGGCCAGCAAUUCUGGGAAGGUUAAACAUGCAUUUUGGACAAGUAGACACUCAUUGCAGCUUUACUGUUUAUGUAGGAGAUGACCAAUAUGGAAGGAUUUUUGUAAGAUGAAAAUGGGAUUUCCCAAAGCUAAAGUUUAACUUGAAGGAGACAAAACUUCAAGGAAGACAAAAUAAGCCAGAGGCAAAACCUUUUGCAAAGUAAAGAGAAAUCACAUGUGCUCCCACACAUAGGAAAAGGGACAGCCUCCAUUUUGUUUGUUUUGUGGAAGUAUAGGCAGUUCACAGUAUAAUAAAUGGACAAUCUUUCUAAAGUGAUAUCACUGAGAUACACAGGAUCAGAAACACACACUGAGCAAGCGCAGUUUUCAUAGUGUCUGUGUACAAGUUUUGUAUUCAGUGCUUAUGAAGGGAUUUGCUCCAUGAGGAUGUCUGCCAGGGAAAGCUGGAGUGGGGAGUCAUGGGUUUAUUCUGACAUGUGCCACCACUCAAUGCCCUUUAAAAUACACAGUUAUUAAGAGCCACAACAGAUCCAUUUCUGAUUAAAGGAUUUCUUAUCAAUGGCUCUAGCCAGAGCCCACCAUCAUACUGGGUGGAGUGUUCUCAAACAAAGACUUUGGACUCUGCCCUGUGGGAAGCCUUCCAGGCACGUGGGUGGGGAGAGCCACCCCCUCCCCGCCAAAGGUUGCUGGCUCAUCCUAGCCCCCUGGUGUUGGCUUCCUCCUGUUGUCCCUUUUCUCCCUUUACUCUCACUGCCAACCUUUUCCCCACUUGUCACUGCUGUUACUAGAAUUAAAAAUGCUCUCCAUUCAAAUGCUAGUUCACUUCUUGCUGUUUAAGCAGUAAGUGCUAGGAAAUGCAAACAUUUUUAAAAAAUGAAAUUCUAUGGAGAAGCAAAUAAUGUGUCUCCUUGGGGUGAUGAGAUCAGAAUUGCUAGACAAGAGGCAUUGACAGGAAACAACUUAGAAAGCAGCUUAGAAGUUGUGAGGCACUGGGACUGUAACUGUGCUCAUCAUGGUUCCAGCAGCUACUGGUGACUGAGCCCUUUCUUGAUGACAGAUGGCAUCAUAAGCGUGUUUCACAGGUUCCUGACAUAUGGCGAAUAUAUCUUCAGCAUAUAUAUCUUUGGCUUUCUAGUUUUUUCUUUUCUUCCUUAAGAAAAUACCCUUGUCAAAAGAGUGGUAUAAAAUUUUUUUCUUCUUAAAUUUCAAAUUCACCUGAGGCAAUUGAAUUCUCUUAAUAGUAUAUAAAUGAAAUGAUUGAAAUAUCAAAGACUACUGCCAAAUGAACAAUCCUUACCACCUAGAUUUGAUACUUUAAUGAAAAUUCCUUUGAUGUUAGGGACAAUAAAAAAAUUGGAAAGGCUUUUGAACCAUUCAUGAGAAAAGGAGAAAACCGAGGGUCUGGCGCUAUGGGACAGAUUCUGUUUCCAGUCUUACCGCUACCUCAGUUUUCCCCCUGUUCUGCCAGGAGAGCUGUAGGGGGUGCUGUCCUGGCAGAUGGUGUUAAUGAGUCUACAGGGGAAAAAAGACAAAAAAGAUCUCAGACUUUUCUGGCAAUGUUUACCUCUCAUGUGGAGGGGGCUGCUGGAGAAUAUUCCCUUCAAAGACCGUAUUUUCUGCUUGACAAUAAAAGCUCUCUGAGUCAGUUUCCAAAAUGGUCCACUUCACUCUAGGCACUAACAGGUGGAGUGUCAAGGCACAGUUUUGCCGAAACUCAGAGUCAGUUCAACGUGAGAGAUGUGGUGCCAGUGAGACUCAUUCCCCAAACAACAUUCCUGUCAGCAGGAGCCUCUCAUUGUAAAUACGUUCUCUUAAGUAAAACUGGCUUGACUUGGUUUGAGGUGUUCUGAGGUAUUACUUCCCAUAAUAAUUUUGCUGUUUUUAUCAUCAUUUGUGUCUAAAUAUGCUAAACAUGUGUUUGAGUAGAACUCACACAGUCUGGGGAAACAGGUAUUUUCAAACAGGGAGAAUUUUAUUCUGGUAAUCGUAUCCCCUGCAAUCAUUUGUUAUAAACUAUCAUUAAAAUAUUAUGCCCCAAGAUCAUGUUUGUUUUAAUGGGAAUAAAUAGAAAAGUACUUUUAGCAGUCACAAACAGGUAUGAAGCAUUUUUCUUUCCUCCAAACCAGAAAAAAAUCAUUUUUGAAUUGGUUUUUGUUUCUUUAAGGGGAGCUGAAUUUUCCUAGACACACAUGGAAAAUCAGCUCACACUUCAGUAUUCCCAGGCACUUCCAAGCUGGCGACAGAAAAUAGAAGCUGAAGAUAAACCCUUCACUGUGUCUUAAGUUUUUAAGAACAGUUUUACAAUGCACCAAUUAUAAUAGUCAUUCCUACCUUUCAUUAAGUUACGGGCAAGACAGAAAGGUUAUUUUGGUCUCUGUAAGACACGUUUAUUGUCAUUCUGCCAAGACGCAAUAAGUUGGUGUAGAAAACCUGUCACUCAUCUACUGUUAUCCACUGAGGGUCAGGACUACUGUUUUCUUUUGGUGAUCAGAGUGACUGUCCUGGGAAUUAUUCAUUAGUUCUGGCUUUUCUUUUCAAGAAGCUGUCUGUUGGCAAAGAAACUUUGACCCCACUGCUACUUUUGCCUUCUGGGAGAGCUGUGCAGAGCUGGAUGACAUGGCUCUGCCAGCUUCCUGAUCUCCCCAAGAUGGGGCUGCAGAAGCCAGGUUUGGCUCAGAGCAACCACUAGGAACUAUGGCACUAUCAAGUUCAUGGCCAGCAAACCAACAGACAAGGCUUUUUCUGUGCUCUGAGCCAGCAAAGAAUAACAUCUUUUAAACCACCCCAAGGCCAAACUUCCCUUUGCUUGAGACCAAGUCACUUCAUCUGCUGUAAUACCACUGUGUCCAGAAUAUUGGGCAAAUGUUUCUGUAACAAUCUUAUUAAUACAAUUUUUGUUUGUUUUUUACCCUGGGCUUGAGACACUGGAUUGUUCUUUUAGAACAUGACUUUCACAGAUAAACAGAUCUGGAUUAAAAUCUGUGUUCCUUUAUAAGUUUAUGACCUUGGAUAAAGUGAGGAAAAUUGACACCACCUUAAGAGGUGGCUGUUACCACCUUUUAAAUAAUAUAAAAUAUACAAAAUUAAAUAAGACAAGAUAUUCAAAAGCACCAGCACAGUGCCUGGCAUGUUGUAGAUACUUAAUAAUUUUUUUUUUUUUUAGUGUGGGGGAGGUGCUGAUUCUGCUUCCUCCUGUUCGUGUGUUCAUUACCAACAUUAGAUCCUGCCUCUCCGUACUUCCCAACUCAACUCAUAUUCCAAAGAGAUGAAAUGAUGCAUGAAAUUAUUUCAAACCAUCUCCUAUUGGCCAUUUCACAUGAAAAUGAA